rnacentral:antisense_RNA from 1 species
GCCUGGGGCCGGCCGCGCUCUCGGGCUCGCAGGCGCUGGGGCUCGGCUCCGGCUCCGGCUCCGCGCCGCUGGCUCUGCGUCGCUCUCACUCCAGCCGGGGGCACCCUCAUCCCAGGCUGACUGACGUCCCUGGCACCCAAAGGUCGCGGGGAGUGCGGGGCCAGGGUGCGCCCUCCCUCCCCCUCCAGCCAGUGAAACCCGGGACAGCGGCACCCAGUCCCAGGGCGGAGGCCGUCUCCGCUGCGCGCAGCGACGCACCCAGGCCCAAGGGCCGGGAGAUCCGCGGGGAACCCGGAGACCUGCGUCCCAGAGGGGCCGAGGGUUGCGCCGCGCCCGCUCCCACGGGCCUCUUCCGAGAGGACGCUUCUCCCGCGUGUCCGCGGGAAGUCCUCGGAUCCUGGAUAAGAAAGAGCCUUCUCUCACCGGCUCCCAGACCCCGCGCUUUUUAAUACCUGUCCUGACAGAGCGACUGGUCAUUUUAGGCCCGAGUCAAGCCUCUCUUGAUUAAUAAAUGACCAUGGCUCGUUUUGUUUUAAGUGUGCGUGGAUGUAUACGUUGUAUUGUUUUGCAAUUCAACACAGCAAAGAUCUGGGAAAAGUUCUUCACCUGCAUUAAGGAAAGCAAUUACAAACUCGUAGUCCAAACCAGAAGAGCCAGAAAA